rnacentral:lncRNA from 1 species
GGCCGGGAUCCCGAUCGGCUCCCGCAGCCCCGCGUGGGCUCGUGCGAGUCGGCCUCAGUGUCUGCGAGAUUAAUCUCUCAUGGCCGCUGCACAAGAACCUGGCUUUUAGCUGAACUAAGGAGAAAGUCCUACAACAGUUUGGCGUGCAACAUGGGGCUUGAGAAAGGGUUUUCAGCAGCUUCCGGAGGCCGCCUGGACUGCAGAAGGCGCCCUGGGCGUGUGUACUUCCACCUCCGCAGGCGCUGGCAUCUCCAGGCUGCUUCAGGCCGCUUUGGACCUCACCAUCGGUAGCAUCUGCGUCUUCUUGAGGUGACUGGAGCCCGUCUAUGGUUUCAGCCAUUGACUUCUGGACAUGGAAGUGUCGAGGCCAUUUUUGGCCCCUCUCAUAUCCGGGAAGGGCUCCGUGCCCAGUAGAGGUGCAGUGCAGCAGCCAGCUCGCAGCAGUGCUCCCGUAGAGCUGAUGGCAUUGGCAGGAGUGGCGGCUCAGCACAGGGAAGUUCUCCAGUGCCCAGGCCCAGGCUUGCUCUCGGUUUAGGUCCCAUGGCACGUGGGGCUCUGGACCUGCCUGCCUCCAAGACAGCUCUUCCAAGGUUGAGGGUUGGAACUCCACAGCCUCAGCCUCCCAAAGCUUGACCAGGCCCAGCCAUAGCUAGUCUAGGAAAAGAGCAAAUGGCCGUGUUUUUAUAUUUUGACUUUUGCAUUUCAAUAUUAAUUUUUUUGGUAAUGUAAUGCAUUCAAAACAUGGUCCCCCCCCCCCCAAAAAAAAAAGAAAAGAAAAAGAAAAAAGCAUGUUUCUAACCAGGGGUCCUUCAUCUUCUGCAGAUGCCAAGGGUGUCCCUGGCACAGUAAAAGUUUGGAAGCCCUGCCCUAAAGCCUCACCUCACCUGGCAGCUGGGUGUUUCAUUCAUAGCAAAUGUUCUGUAUAUUCACCAUGUACCAAACACACAUGUCACUAAUGAUACAAACACAUGUGCACUGACAUUGACCUCCUCACUGUCUUACUAUAGUCCCAUCCACAGCCACCUUAUCAGAGUCCAUGGGACUCUGACAACUUGUAAUGGGAAAAUUAACCGUGCCUGUAGGGGCCGCCUGGGUAGCGGGAGGUGGUUCAUGAGUACCAGGAAAGCUGGCCCUGGGGCAGACCUGGGCAGGGCAGAGCACAGCUUGCAGGACCUAGUACACAGUGUUGGGAAUUGAAUUUGGGUUUUGACCUUUGAAGCUGUGCAUAAAGUCUAAAACAAGAAGAGGAGUGGAGGCUGAGGUUGUAUUUGUAUUUUAAAAUGAGCAUUUGCCACACAAAGCCAGGAGCUUCAGACCAGCGUGGUUAACACAGCGAGACCCUCCUCUCUGUGAGAAAUUAAAAAAAAAACAAUAAUAAAAGCCAGGCAUGUUGGCAUGUACCUGUAGUCCUAGCUGCUCAGGGGGUGAGGCGGGAGGAUCACUUGACUCCUGGGUUACAGUGAGCUCUAAUUGCCACUGCACUUCAGCCUGGGCCACAGAGUGAGACCUUUUCUCAAAAUAAAAUAAAAUAUAACCUUUUGGGCAGGCAUGGAAAGGGGCUGGAGAGAAUAAGAGGAAACAGAGAUAAGCCCCCUCCCUGGGAGCACAAGGGACUCAUCCCCAGACAUGGCACCACAGGCAAACAGACACUGUCACAAAACUAGCAUAUUAUCUUUCCUAGAAGUCCUUUGUUUUCCCCAAGUGCCCUUUCCCCCAACCUUUUGUUGGUUUACGAGCUCUCAAUUCUAACCUCCUAGUACACGAAUAAAAAUGUCUAUCGGGGUGGUGGCGUGAGCCUGUAGUCCCAGGUACUUGAGAGGCAGAGGUGGGAGGAUCCUCUGACCAUAAGAGUUCCUGACCAGCCUGUGCAAUACUGACUCCAUCUCAAACAAAAAACAGAAAGCUAUACAACUCCGUUUCUCUUGCUAAUUUGUCUUUUGUCAGUUUAAUUUGCAGGCCCCAGAUGCUGAAUCUAAGAGGGCAGAGGAAAAGCUUUUCCUCCCUGACAUAACCAUCCAGGAGAAAGUCUGGAAUGGAGGGUCAGAGGGGUAGGGAAUGGAGUUAGGAGAAGUAGAUAGAUUCAGGACAGUCUUUGGAGAAUGUACAUCACUGAGGUCAAGAUGUCCUAGGGAAUGGCCCUUCUGGGUUCACAAUUCUGCUUCCGUCGGUUAACAGCAACUUAGUCCCUUCUAUGCCUGUGGGGAUAAUCAGUCAGGAUAGGCUGGAUUAUGCUGCUCUAACAACCCCAAAUUUCUCUGAUCUAAUAAAAGUAUACUCAAAGCUGUAUACCCUUCAAGGGUCCCCUGGGGUCUCUGCUCAUUGUAGUUCCUGCCCUGGCUACAGGCAUAACCAUGUGGAAAUCAAAGGCUUUCUUGGCAAAGAGAAAGAGAGCUCUAGAAGCUUUAGCACUGGCAAAUAAAUAAAUGCUUGGCGUAUAGGUGAUAUAUGGCUCUUCUGGCUCAGGUCCUUGGCCAGAAUUAAUCACAUGGUCUCACCUCAAGGGAACAGGUGAGUUAAAUGCAGAAAAAUAUUCAAGCUGGGUGAGGUGGCUCACGCCUCUAAUCCCAGCACUUUAGGAGGC